CAACCCAUACAGAGAUGUAUGAUUGAGCGUCCAGAAGUCAGCAGAGGCCGUAGUACCGUGAAGGGGAAUGUC
rfam:Termite gut metagenome tgut2b_Contig2495, whole genome shotgun sequence.